rnacentral:misc_RNA from 1 species
UUGUCCGCGGUGAAGCUGGAGC